AUCGAGGCCUCGAAACUCGAUCACGUUUAAUGCAACAACUUCCGAUCGACGCAUGCUGUCGAGACUACAUAUCGAUGUUCGAUGGAUCGAGAAAAUCCGUAGCGAUUAGUCAAAUUCCGUGAUAUUUUUGCCUAAAGGGGAUUAGAUAUCUGGUAUAUUAUAUGUAUAGAUCAGAUUCUUGCUACCUUCUUUAUAACGCAAGAUUCAUUGUAUGAUUUAUAUUAAUCAAAUUUUCGUCAAAUAAUUGCAGAAUGUCACUAAUGUAUUGGGGGAAAAAAAAAAAUCAACUUGAAAAUGAUUAAUUUUAAUCAUUAAUUUCAAUCGAUUAGUUAUUUCUUAAAAUUUGUCAUAACUUAACAAAUCUGUGGCGAUGAAGAAGGAAUUAGGUUGUACAAAUUUGUCAUUGUUAAUAAUACACUUUUCACUAUACAUGCAGCUUUGGAUAUGAAAAUCUUUGAAAAUAAAUACUCACAACAAGCCCUGUGUCGAAUGGAAUUAAACACAAUGGAAUGUCGCACGAUGCUCCCGAUUUAAGAGUUCCUAUCACAGUCUCAGAGACUCCGCACCAUGCUAUAGACUUAUUAGAUUCUAGGCCCAACAUUAUAUCCAUACUUCUCUCUCUGUAAACAAAACAUAUAUUGAACUGAGCAUUAUUUUUCAUUGAUGUUAUUUUAUUUCAACUUGAAUACGAUAAAUUCGAAAGGUUCUCUACACAUUUAUCACUGUCAAUGAAUGCUUUCAAUUACUCACGAAGUAUUUACAAUACGACAUUUGAAGUUCACUGGUUCUUCCAGGUACGCAAUAGGUGGUAUCUCCUUCAUUGUUACUCUCAAGUCUCCAAAAUCUGGAGCCUUAAAGACAACCGAAAAUCAAUUAGAUCGAAUAUCAGCUGAGCUUUACAUGUUAAACGCAUAUUGCUGUUUUUGAAACAAACCAUCCUCUGCAGCUGACUCGUUUGUAGGCGUCCUCUUUCACCCAAAUUACUCCGCCAAACGAUAUCAAGUUUUCCUAUGUUAGUUGCAUUAUGCAUCAUUUUUGGAUCCUUGGUUAAGCUCGGCUGAGGAGUAAGGCAGUAUAAGUACUGCCGGCUCGAUCCAGAAUCUAAUAGAUUCACUCGCCCGUAAAUAGACUCACCUUGCAAGUUUGUGUUCAAGGUUGUUACUGUGGAGAGUACAUUUUUAGUUAAAAUUUUUCGUUUCCCCUGC